rnacentral:lncRNA from 1 species
UUAGCAUGGACAUCAAAACAGUUCAUGGGUUUCCUAAGGCUCUUGGAUUCAUUUUUAUAAUAGUGUGAAAAUACCUUAUUGAGUAGUUGAACAGUGAACUUAAUAAAUUCUCAACUAGUCCUGGGGCUGAUCUAAUAGUCUGAAUCUACUAAAGCAUUAAAAUCUUACCUGGAUGGACUAUUCUUCAGUAGACUGGAAUCCAUCAUUUUACUCAAUUUUAUUCAGCUUGGGGAAAACAUGGAAGUUUAAAUCCCAGAUGAAAACUGGCACAGGAAUGUGUUCUAUAACAUCAAGUAGCAACUAUGUAUCUCUUCAUGUGUAACCUUGCUAUAAUGUUUAGAAUGAAAUGAAUUUGCCAAGUGAUUAAGUAAGACUUGAAAUGAUAAAAUGAGUUACUGAUGCUCUCCCCAAAAUUAUCAGAACUGUUAUAUAGAGUCACAUAUAUUACAUGAAAAUACAUGCUUAACUCGUAUAUUUAGCAUGUUAAUACACAUUUACUGAAACAUAUUUAUUAGUAAUAAAUAAUCCCUAUAGUAAGAGAUGUACUUAUUGCUCUGUUGUUUUAUUAACUGAAAAUAUAGUAAAAAAAAAAAAAAAAAAAGCCAAUGGGAAUGAACCUGUCUGUGAUAAUCAUCUAAAAAGUAGAUAAAACUAGGAAAUCAUCGUAGGGAAUGAGACUUAGUUAUACAGUAUAGGAAGUUGCCAAAUGUUUGGACUUAUGUUGCUAAUAUUUUGCCACAAUGCAUAAAAAUUACCCCAGACCCUUAGAGACAGUCGUACAACCUGACAAGCAUUUUCAGAAUUGACAGUCCCCCUUACCCAGUAGAUAUUUCAUUCUCUGCAUGCUGGGCUUCUUUGCAGUUGUUGAAAACCAAGGCAGAUGGGCACUCCAGACAGCCUGAGGGGACAGGAAUAACACACUUCAGAGCACCAGGUGCCAUGAGAUUCCUUCUUUUCAUCAGUUGGGCUAAUAGACCCGUGGAGGCCAGGAACUCAGGCAUAUCCUAGAGGGUCUUGCAGGUGGCCAUCAUUGAAGUGCCUGGUAGACUUCCUGCCGACCCCUGGUUUCACAGAGAGUCGAGAGCAUAGCUCUUCCGCUGUGACAGCCUGGCUUUGACAUGAAAUAGCAUAUUAGAGAAACUCUGAGGGUUUUGCAGUAUGGAAAACAUUCCGAGGUUGAUGCUGAUGAACAAUCUGAGCGUUUUUCUUUUUUCUCUCUCUAGUGUGUUAAGAACAGUUAACAUGAGAUCUGUGUUCUUAACAGAUUUUACGUGUAUUAUACAGUAUUAUUAUCUUUAGGCGCAAUGUUGCCUGAGAUCUCUAGAACUUACUAAUCUUGCAUAGCUGAGAUUUUAUGCAUGCUGAUGAGCAGGUCUCCAGUUCCCUCUCGGCUCAGUCCCUAGCAGCCACCAUUCUAUUCUUUGCUUCUAUGGGUUUCACUGUAUUUGAUAACUCGUAUUGCUGGAAUCAUGCAGUAUUAGUCCUGUGAUUGGCUUCUUUUCUCUUUUUGUUGGCUGUUUCCACAUAUCCUCAGCAAUUCCAUUAGUAAGUACCCUUUGCUCUUCUUCCCCUGAGCUUCUGAAACAUGCAGAGGCUCUCGAUUCAGCACCAUCCAUUCCUUUUUAAUAUCUAGUAACCUUUUUUUUUUUUUUCUCUGAUUAGAGUGUAAACUGCCAAAGUGGGCAAGAGUGCUUCAGGCCUUCUGUAAUCUGCAUUGUGCCUUGCACAUUAGAGUAAGAGUCUGUUCUUUGCUUUUCUCCUUUUCCCUGCCUUCAUUCAAGAACUAUUUACUAAAUAUCAACUAUUUAAUAGUUUCUGGGAUGGCCUUUGGGAUACAGCUGUGAACUAGAUGGAUACAGUCCUUAGCCUUGUGUGGAUACAGCAGUGAACUAGGCAGAUACAGUCCUUAGCCUUGUGAGGUGAACCAGACAAAAACUGAAUAAAUGUAAAUAAACUGCAAAUUGCAGUUUGUUAAAAGGGAAUACAUGGCUAAGACUGAGUAUAACUUGGGGUAGGAGAGGUGACUGGAUUUUCUGUUUUUCUUGUAUUUUUUUUCUCCCAUUUUUAUCUUGGCUGUCUUCUCUCCCAAGUGAAAUAUUCCAGAUCUGUUCUUUCAGUUGGAUGUAUGUCUACAGAAUACGAGCUAUGAAAAGCUAACUGCUGUUAUUAUUUUCUCUUUCCACUACACCUCUCCCCAGUGUGUGUAAGCAGAUUGCCUGCAAAUAAGGAGAGGACAUGGCUUUUCAGUGGCCAGAUGCAGUGUGCCUUAUUGAGUAGCAUACAUGCAUCAGAGACUAUGUAUAGAAUAAUUACGAUUAAAUUAGCAUGCAGAAGAAAUGCUUCGAUAACAUUGGCAUACAGUUUUUACAAACCAAGAGCCAUGCUUAUAAAGCCCAUUGAAGGUUUUUGGUGAGUAUAUCCAGAAGGGGAGAAUGAUGGGGUCUGGGUGAAAAUUAUUAUUAUUACUUGGUGAAUUAUCCUAGUUCAGGACUGGUUAUAUAUAUAUAUCAUUAGGCACUCACUCACAUACCUUCAUAUGUAGUUUUGCAGUGAAGAUAAACAGAUACACAGGCUUACUAUAUGAAUUAAGCUGAAAGCAAUACAUAUGUUACAGUUGAUAAGAAAUCAAAUAUGGCAUAUGGGUUUAUGACUAAAUGAGGGAACUUGGUUUUUGAAUGCAGGUAACUACCAGUAGACUCAUCAAGUGAUCUGCCUUUACAUUCUGCAAAACGUAGACCCUCAGGGGAGCUAUGUUUACAAACUGAACUUCAGAAACGGAGAGAGUUGAAGAACUCAGAAAGAGGUACUGUGUUAGUUCACUAGGGCUGCCCUAACAAAGUCCCACAGACCAGGUGACUUAGAGAAUAAAAAGUUAUUUUCCCACAAUUACAGGUCUGAAAUAAAGAUGUUGGCAGCAUCGUUUCCUCUGAGGCGCCUCUUGUUGGCCUCUAGAUGUGUGUGUUCUCCUCUUUGUCUUCACAUGGAUUUACCUCUGUGUUUCUGUCUGUGCCCUCCUCUGAGGACAACAGUCAGACUGGACUAAGCCCCAUUCACAUGGUUUAAUUUACCUUAGUUACAUCUUUAAAGUCCUGUCUCCAAAUACCUUCACAUUUUGAUGUACUGCAGGUUAGGACUUCAACAUGUGAAUUGGGGUAGAGGGGGACACAAAUCCAUAACAGAUACUAAAAUAACAGUUACUGAGUAAGUCUGGGUCAGGGUCUAACAAGGAAAAUGCAAACCACUUCAAUUGUUUGCAGCAGAGGGAAUUUAAAACAAGAAAUUGAUUUCUGAAGUUCUUGUCAUGGCUCAGUGGUAACAAAUUCAACUAGUAUCUAUGAGGACACAGGUUUGAUCUCUGGCCUUGCUCAGGGGGUUAAGGAUCUGGCAUUGCCAUGAGCUGUGGUGUAGGUCACAGACGUGACUCAGAUCCCGCAUUGCUAUGGUUGUGCCAUAGGCCAGCAGCUAUAACUCUGAUUUGACCCCUAGUCUGAGAACUUCCAUAUGCCAUGGGUGUGGCCCUU